UACAGAGGGGGCAAGCGUUGUUCGGAAUUACUGGGCGUAAAGGGCGCGUAGGCGGCCCGCUAAGUCGAACGUGAAAUCCCUGGGCUCAACCCAGGAACUGCGUCCGAUACUGGCAGGCUUGAAUCCGGGAGAGGGAUGCGGAAUUCCAGGUGUAGCGGUGAAAUGCGCAGAUAUCAGGAAGAACACCCGUGGCGAAGGCGGCUCUCUGGGACGGUACUGACGCUGAGACGCGAAAGCGUGGGGAGCGAACAGG
rnacentral:rRNA from 1 species